CGCACAUCAAGCCUGACAGACUGUUUAUGGGUUUUGGCAGCAGAGUGAGGUCUGUGCACAAGAAGGGCCCAUGAGGGAAACUCCACAGAAGAAUCUGGAGCGAGAGAAGCCUGGCCUUGCUGGGAAAGGGCAGACUGGCGCAGAAGGGAGUGACCCUGCGUGCUUCCUGCAAUGACCAACGUGCUUCUCCGCCUCGACCCUGAGCGGAGACGGGACAAUAGAUUCCCUCCCCAUUGAGUGGGGACCCCACAAAUCUGGCCAUUUUUUAUUGGACACCCAAUGCAAAAUUUAUGUUUCGGGACACUGGAUUUUGUUGUAUUUCAGUAAAUAGUGUUAGAUUUAGUUCAU
rnacentral:lncRNA from 1 species